rnacentral:rRNA from 1 species
CCUACGGGUGGCAGCAGUGGGGAAUAUUGCGCAAUGGGCGAAAGCCUGACGCAGCGACGCCGCGUGAGGGAUGAAGGUCUUCGGAUCGUAAACCUCUGUCCGCAGGGAAGAACGGUCACUGUGCUAAUCAGCAGUGAAUUGACGGUACCUGCAAAGGAAGCACCGGCUAACUCCGUGCCAGCAGCCGCGGUAAUACGGAGGGCGCGAGCGUUAAUCGGAAUUACUGGGCGUAAGGCGCUCGUAGGCGGUAUGUCAAGUCAAGGGUGAAAUCCCCGCGCUCAACGUGGGAACUGCCUUUGAAACUGGCAAACUGGAGUGUGGGAGAGGAAAGUGGAAUUCCAGGUGUAGGAGUGAAAUGCGUAGAUAUCUGGAGGAACAUCAGUGGCGAAGGCGAGUAUCUGGCACAUAACUGACGCUGAGGAGCGAAAGCGUGGGUAGCAAACAGGAUUAGAUACCCUUGUAGUC